CUGUUUUAGGAGAGCUGGGUUUUCAGUGUCUGAGACCCCUUAUUUUUAAAAGAAAAAAAAAAGAAACUGUUUUUUCUUUUCUAUUAGCCAAAAAGAAAAUCGCAUUAAAAAGAACAAUGUCAUGCUCUUUCUUCCCUCUCUCCCUGCUGAGUUGGAAGGGACAGAUGCACAUGGGCUGGGAGCUUUUGAAUCAAUUGCUCAAAAGACUUUUCUGUUCCCCCACCGUGGCGAGGUCAGGGCAGUGACAACAAACAAUUUAACUUCUCGAACCUUGUGGUGCCUUUUCUCGUGGUGCUUCUCUGUUGUGUAACUCCACUCAAGGCGACCACUUGCAGCAAACAGCAACGCCAGCAAAUGGUAUUCUGUGCCAGUGCAGUAACAGACUUUAAUGUAUAAAUAUAUACUUAGAUAUAGAUAUAUCACCAUAGUUAUAUAACUAUAUAAUUGAGGUUCUGAUGCAGCUUUGGUGGGAGUUGAUCAUUCCUCUACAAAAAUAUAUACUACUCAACUGGAACUAAUGGCUCUCUUGAGGGUACUGACAUUUGGGAAAGGCACAACAGAUGAGAUGGGUUACUCUCCUGUGACAAGUUUUCUUCUUCCUUCUUGUGAAAGUUGCUGUCUCCGUAACACAGAAUAUUUGAUAAGGGAGCAAAGUGCAGCUUCUUUUGAACUUCCUUUGGUGCUGAUAUAUAUUUCUUUUAAUUCUUUGUUUGUUUUGCUUCCCCAUUAGUGGCCAAUAAGCUGCUUUCCCCAAAAUCUUGACUCACCUAUCAAAGGUGGCAGGGGACAGUUUGGGAAUAAGAGGCUGGAAGUUGGGCAUCCCUCACUUCGUGUCCUGACUCAGUUUCCCCUGUGACCUGCAUACGUCCCACACAUGGGUUCUCCAUCUACAAUGAGUAUCAUAAUAUUUACCUCAUGGGGAAGAGUAACUUAAAAGGAUUAACUGAUGAUACUGAAUCACUAGAUCAUUAUUAAUUUGGAGACAGCAACUUGACAUGUUAAGAUUUUGUUUAUAUGUUGCUAAGACUUAAAUCUUGGGGUUUUGUUUUGUUCGCCUCUUGUUUCUCCAUCUCUGCUAUGUUUUCUGUCCUGCCUUUGGCAAUACCUUAAAUAUUCUGUAACUGAUGGAGAUUCACCUAGGGCGUUGGGUAGUGCUAAUUUCUCCCAAGGGAACAACAUCACUAAUACUGUAUAAGGUGCUAGAAUCAAACCUCAUUUUAUAUACUUUGGUUCUUAGAGAAAAACAAAACAUGCAGAAUUAUUUCUGUGAAGCCUUACUAUAGAUUGCUAUAGCCAAUUGUUUAUCCAAAAAGUGAGACAGAGAGAAUAGAAAAUGAAGAUAAGAUGCAGAGAUUCUGUAUAAAGUGUAACAAAAAGACCUUUGCUAUUUCUUAUAUUAAGGUAAACUAUCAUAUAUAUAUAUUUAUAUACAUAUAUAUAUAUAUGUUUGAGGCAGAUAGAAUGGAAAAACGUACAGUGUGGUCAUCUUUAUUUUGUCAGUUAAUUCACAACUUUUAGUAUGUGUGCAAGAGAGGUUUAGAGUGGGGAUGGGAUAAGGGAUGCCCAGUGUGAUAUGGGAAAUCAUUCAUCUUUCUGUUCUGUUCCACAUGUUAGUAGAAGGAGUAGGCUGAAUGAGAGGAAAGGGGAAUAAAUCAAGACAUAGAUGUGCUUUUUAAAUGUUCUGAGCAUUGAUGUUAUGCUUUUGUGUUGUUUCUUCUUUAUUCCAAGGUUUCUCUACAGUGCUGUAAAAAUGUCCCCUGCCUAGGGCGCUAACCAAUAACGUUUACCUCAAGAAAGCUUAAAAAAAAAAGAGGCAGUUUUUUUCCCAUCUCUUAAAAAAUAGUGUCCCUCUAACCAAAAGGUGAGGCAUUUCCGCAGAAGUUCAGCAAGAGAAGAGAACCAUUUCUGAGGCUUUCCUUCAUGUCCCCAUCCUUUUCUACCGCACCCCACCCCCUUUAGUUACUAAUGAAAGAAUCCAAGAGAUUAGUUUUGACCAGAAGUGGGUUAGGAUGUGAUUAAAGUGUAUUAUUGGUGAAUAUAAACUUUGCCAGAACUAGCGGUGUGGGGUCCUUUCAAAGGAUGGCUGUGUACUUCAGAUGUUUCAUGCUAGCAUGUGUGUGUGUGUGUGUGUGUGUGUGUGUGUGUGUGUACUGUAUAUAUGUUCCAGUGUGUGAAAUGUCUGGUGGACAGAGAACAAAAUACCGCAAGCAGACAUGAACAGGAAAAGAUAUAUAUCAAAUGCUAUUUUAUCAGAUGAUGCACUUGUUCACCUUGAUGAGAAGCCACUGUUUCACAACUAUGCAAUCUUCCAGUUUUUCUCCCCACCCGUUCACCUUAGAUUUCCAAACUGUUUUCCAUAAUCCUCACAGAUUUUUUCCUUUGUACAAGAAACACAAUAUCCAAUCCCUGGUUCAAGGUGAGCAUGCUACAGUGAUUCUUUUCCUAAAUUUAAGAGCUAAAGAAAAAAGAAUUUUCCUUUUCUUUAAUUGGAAAUGAUUCAGUGUAACCUCGUUUGGUUCUGUAAGUGAACUGAUGUGUAUUUUCUGUUUCAGUUACAUGUUUACAACUUGUUUUCAUCCUCUUCUUGGUUCAAAAUAUUUAUUUUCUUUACAGAUUCUACUUUUUAUAUAUGUUUUGGGGAUGUGUUAACUUAAGGCAAGAAGAAAAAUUUGGCUUAAGUGGAAAAAUGAGCAUGUGACCUCUGGGGCCGGGGGUGGGGAGAUCAUGUGUACCUGCAGCUGAAUUAGUACUUACAUCAUGGUCCUGAGUCAAGACCAUGGCAGGGAAUCUGGUGGACUCUGGGGAGGACCUGACCUGGGUGUUUUUCUUUCCUUAUUUGUGGUCAUCUCUAUGGAGUAACCUAUACCCAGAGGAUGGACUAGUAUUUUCUGCCUUAGCUUUAGGCCAACUGUGCCCUUCCUAGCUACUCCACCCAGUGCCAAAUCCCAUGUCCCUUCUGUUGCACCACGGACUCCUAAUACCUCUCCUCCCCUGCCAGCCACUGAUGGCAACUUGCCCAAGUGGGGUUAAUGCAUCUGCUUUCAUUUCGAAAGUUAGAUAUAAAGGGAAUCUUUGAGAGCCCAGUGUCAAAAGUGCUCAGGAAAUUGGCCCUAGACUGUGUGCCAUUUGGAAACAUUUUGAAACAUACUCAUAGCUGCAGUGAGGGCAGCGGGUUCUAGCACAUUUACAAACUACCAUCAAGCCAGUUCGGCUGAGCAAGACUUUGAGAGGUUUUUAAAAAAUAGUUGAGAGAAAGAUGAUAGGUCACAUGGUUACACAAAGCACAAACUUGGCAGGGGAAGCCCUGUACGCAGAAGGCAGCUUUGCAACUUCUCUGGUUGUCUGCACAAGUCUGAGUUUUGCACAUGGUUUACAAGUCUUGCACAAGGUGGCCGAGCCAUCCAAGACAAUUUUUAAAAGAGAAAUCCAGACACUGCCUAACUGCUCCAGCACAACAUGCUUCCACUCGGCGGCAGGUGGGAGCUUAGAUGAAAUUCCUUUGGAGUGAAGAAGGAAGUCGGUCCUUUGAUGAAGUGCAUUGUCUCUAGUGGCCUCAUUCCUUGCCUUCCCCAAUCCUGCACAUUCUCUUAGCUACUCAGGGGAUCUGAACAAAGAGGUAUUCAUUUACUUUUGUCUUGUUCCAUAGAUCACAUCUGCUGAGAACCAUCCUGGGAAUUUCUCACCCAUUCUUUGGUCUUCUUUCUUAUAUAUAAUAGGAAUAAAGGGUUCCUCUUCUCCUUGAAGUGAGUAGUUUGGAGACUUUCAGAGCUGUCCUGGGACCUGGCCCUGCAUAACCAGACCCCAAGAAGCUUCCCCAAAGCUGACUUGUCUUUAAGGCUCAGAAAGUCUACAGGGGAUCUGUUCCAGGACACCAUGAAAUUUCCCAACUCCUGGCCCUCUCUAAAAAUCAGCUGUACAUUUGGAGGAGUCUCUUGCAGGUUGCCAAGGUCUGGACCUGUGACCCCAGUCCCCUCUAGCCUGCCCCAUUGGCACUCAGGCCUCUGGGUCUUCACUCACCUUGGGCAGAAUGAAGAGUGGCCAAAGGUUGAAAGUGGUGGAGAUCCCUCACUCCUUGCUUGCCCAGGGCCAAAUCAGAGUGUCCAAUACCCAUUUGGGGGCUGUGACAACCUGCCGUUCUGGGAAGGGUCAUGCCCACCUCUGCAGUCUGUGGCAUUGUUGAGUUUCUGCCCAAAUCUAGACCCAGGAAACCUGCCUGUUCGGAAGCCUGACAAUUCAUUCCCAGUGUAAACAGAGCCUUUGCUGGAAAAAUCUUCCCUAUCAGAGUGGAUGAGUCCGACCCUGUGCUAUGUGGGCUCUUGCCAUCCACUGGACCCUGAGAUCCUGAGUGGCCCAUGGAUGUACAGUCCUGAAUGCCAGGCCAGAGAGGUCAGGGGCGGCCAAGAGCCCUGCAGGGCUGGCUGCUUCUGAAGAAGGAAUCUGGUCAGAGAUGUUGUGCUUCCCCUGAUGGGAGUAGGAGACAGUUCCUUAGAGGAAAGAAGCAUUUAGAAUUACUGGGGUCUCAGGAAUGUCACGUGUCAGAACCAGUCCAGUGUGGUCUGAGCGGGUGACAUCAGUGAUGCAGAGCAGAGCCCUUCUGGGGAGGAUGAGAGGACCCAGAUACUGCUCACAGUAACCAAGGGCCACAGAUGUGUCAGGCUCUGUGCCCAAUGCCUCCAUACAAAUCAUCUCCUCUAAAUCCUGAGGAUCACCUGGUGAGGUGAGAAAUCCCCCCUUUUACAAAUGGGGAAACUGAGGCUCAGGGAGUCCUCACAUUUGCACAGGGUCCCAUGGUCAGUCAGGGGUUCAGCUGGGGGCAGACCUCAGUAUCUCGGUUCGGCUUCAUCCCUAGUGAUCCUGCUCCUCUUCCAGGUGGACUCCACCUCAUCCCCCUCCUCAUGGCUCACAAACACCAGGGAGCUCACAGUGCCUGGUGUGGAAUGUUUGGGACUAAAUCCAGGAAGCCUGAGCAUUGUUGUUUGCAUUCAGUUGGCCCAAGAAACUAGGAUAAGAGUGGGGAAAAUUCAGGGACGAUUAAUGAAAUACAGCGUCACAUGGAAAAUGAUGCCUGCUUUCCAGAGGUCACCCUGAGCCCUACCCCUUCAGUUAUGUUCUGGAGGAGAUCCGUGGAACUGGAGCCCUCCCAGGUGCACUUUGAGUUGUCUGUUUGGGUUGUCCUGAGAACUUUAGUGUCUCCUAUCUGUCUUGUUUUGUUUUUGUUCUCCAUGACCUUGAGAGAUGACUUUCAGAUAAAUGGAUUAUUUUCCUAAGGAUAUAGGGGGGAUGAGAAGUCGGAGUUAGAACAAAUUAAGAAAUUUAAGCUUCACGGGGUCAGUUCUGAGGCAGUUUUUGCAGACAGUGACUGUGACUCAGCAGCGAGAAGGAGCAGUCCCGGAAGGACCCUGUGCUGGGCUAGGGAGAAGGCAGGCUGAGGUUGGGGGUGACCAUGCCAGGGCCUGGGAACUGGCAUCUGCUCCUGUCCUCACUGCUCUUGGGCUGGCCGUCGCCUUCCAUGAGCCCCAAUGUCCCAAUCUCUAAAAUGCAGGCAUAAACUUGGUAACCUCUGUGAUUGAUCCAAGCCAGAAAGGUAUGAAAAAAGUGAGCCAGGCAAAUACAUUUGAUAAAGUGUCUUGAAUGAUGAAUAGAUACCUUCAGAUUUGGGAACAGAAACCACUCUAGGACCCUAAGUCAACAAAUGCAAAUACCAACAUCAAACUAGCAGGCUGAAGACGGUGAUUUUCACUUCCAUGUGAACCGGUUAAAAACAAUAGAAAUGAGAGAAGAGGCCGGGUGCAGUGGCUCACGCCUGUAAUCCCAGCACUUUGGGAUGCCAAGGCGGGAGGAUCACCUGAGGUCAGAAGUUUGAGACCAGCCUGGUCAACAUGGUGAAACCCUGUCUCUACUAAAAAUACAAAAAUUAUCCAGGUGUGGUUACACCCACCUGUAAUCCCAGCUACUCGGGAAGCUGAGGCAGGAGAAUCGCUUGAACCUGGGAGGUGGAGGUUGCAGUGAGCAGAGAUCGCACCACUGCACUCCAGCCUGGGUGACAGAGCAAGACUCCAUCUCAAAAACAAAAACAAAAGAGAGAAAUGAGAGAAGAGCAUAAGGGAGAGGGUGAUGGGGAGAAGAGCAGAAAUGGACAGGAAGAAAGAGAUUAGAGAGAUUGGUGCGAGGGGAAUGAUAAGACUGCCAUGUUCUUCCUCCACCAGCAGUCUCGUGUUUUAUGUUUGUUUACAACAAUUACAUCAGCUUAAUGGCUACCGAGCACCCUCUGAGUGAGGACAUGCACACACACACACACACACACACACACACACACACACACACACAAGUUAUUCUAAUCCUGCCAAUGUCCAGUGGUUACCCAUGGGGAAAAUCCCUCAGUCCUUGAGCAUAGCUGGGGCUUCUUCAGAGCACAAGGAACAGUGGAAUCUCAGAGUUUGAAGGAGACUCAGACACCACCUAAUUUUUGCUCAUCCACGCAGUCACUGACAAAAGGCUAUCAUACUUAUUGUCACAGGCCUCCAAGGACAGAAGCUCCUUGCCUCCAUUCAUGAUUGAGUACCACGUAAUUGGAUAGUCUUCCCUUAGAAGUGGCCUACUGCUCCCUGUUGUGAUCCAGACUGGUUUCUUUUGCUUUGGGCUUCCAAGGGGACAAAGCCCCUGCCUCUGGAUGAAUGAUCUCUGGGACACUUGGAAGUGCCCUUGGCCUUGUCUUGCCCAGAAACUUCCGAAGGCAAGAGUAGAAAUUGUACCUCACCUUGUCUUUGCAUCCUGAAGUUCAAUGCUUAAGACAGACAGCAAUCCUCCCACCAACCUCACAGCCCAUCCACGCUGGAAGCAGCUGCUCAUCUUUAUUGUGUCCUGUUAUUAUACAGACUCAGAUGAACUGUUUCUCAUUCCUUUCCAUUCAUCAGGUCCAAUGUUUUAUGUUCAAAAUUCAAAUGUAAGUCUUCACUUGAAAUGGAUCGAGGAAGGCAGGAGGAGGCCCCUGGGUAUUGCCUCCAAGGGGAAUAUGUAUUUAUAGGGUCUUCAAAGCCCUCAGAGCACUGCUGAUACCAUCCCCUCUUCCCCAAACCAAUCCUCUUUUUGCAUUUCCCAAAAACCCAAUUCAACCUGGAUCAUGGCCUCCAUGCAGCAGGAGCUCUGCUCGACAUUGGGAAGACAAAGAGGAAAGACCGUCUCUUAAGGCACUCACAGUCCAGCAGGGAGACAAAGCACAAACCUAUGGGCACUACAAUCCGGCUUCUGGGAGGACAGGGUGGUUCUGCCCGGCAGAGCUGACUUAAUGCCUCCCAAAGUUCACACGGCUUCUCAUCAAGGGCCUCUCUCAUCAGUUCCCUCUCCCAACCUACCAUCAUCCCCAAAUGAACCAGGCAUUACACUAGGACCCCCUCAGUCUUCCCCCUAACCUGGGCUGCAACUGUUCCCAGCUAUUUCUCAACAGAGCAAAUCCUGCCAAAAGUAGGAUCAUGUCCAGAGUAAAAAUAACCACUAAACAAUCCAAUGAGCUUGAUUCAGUUCAGCAUUUAGCCCAACAGAUGCCUCUGAGCCCUGUAUCUUCCACAUUUUCUCUAGAGUCUCUAGAGCCUUCUAGCCACGUCCAACAAACCCAAAAGUUACUGCUUGGUUUUCUUGCCCAAGUCCCUUAGGUCUCUUUUGGCCGCCUGUACUGAUCUGAGCUGACCCUUCUUUGGUUGGUGGUUUCAUGGCUCUGUUCUCCAAGUCACUGCCUCAGCAAACCAAUGUCCAUGUCUGCUUUCUUCUUACCCCAUCUUCCUUCCAUCCAGGACAGAAAUAUGAGGACAAAGAGGUCUCUGCAGUAGCUAUCACUGCCUGACAGAGCAUUUUAUAGUAAAAUUGCAUUCACAGUUAAGAUCAAGGCUGAUGGAAGCCUUCUUGGUGGCCUGUUGAGCUCUCCAUUGGAAGAGUUGUUCUUGGAAAUGAGAAGGAGAAAGGGACCAUCUCAAUGUCCCCAUCUGGUAGAUCUUGCUUCAACCACUAUGAGUGCAGAUGACCCAAGAGAGGAAAAGCUGGGCCAGAUCCAUUACAGCUAAAUUGAUUUCCAGCCAGCAGGUGCCAAGGGCGCUCAAAGUGGUCCCUGACACAGUGGCUGUAGAAUUGAGUUCUAACUCUAGGGAAGAUGAAGAAACCCUGACUCCCUUACUAUCGAUGUUGGGCUGCUGAGCUCACAAGGUGCUCCAACCCCACCUGGCAAGAAUACAUAGAACAACCCUAUGGGAUGGGUUACUCCUAUUUAGAUAAAUUAAAAUUACUUCUUUUUUUCCUGGGCACAAAAAGCAAAAACAAAGACUUUCUUAAUUUCACCAGGGUUUGCAAUUGAACACAUCUGAUUCCCUGACUUAAAGAAAUAUAUAUGUAUAUUUUUCAUUUUUGAGCAGGUAUUUUUUUAAUGGGGCUUAUUUUUGGAUUUGAGAUCACUGGGCUUCUUGCCUUGUGAAUCAAUGCUUGCUGCUGUAUUGCAAAUGCAUACAUUGGUGACCGCAGUAUUAAGCCAAAUUUAAAAUCUUAGUCUCCUCCAUCUGUAAGUGUUAUGUAUCUACCUCAUUAUGAUUUUUUUGGUUUCCUGUGCUUUCGUGUUGUGUACAAUGUCAGAGGUGAAAUGUAGAUAAAAAUAUAUAUAUAUAUAAAUAUAUAUUUUUUGCUUUGCAAUAAAGUUCAAAGCUAUAACACAGACUAUUCCUGAAAUAUCAUAGCCUUUUAUUGUGCUCUAUCUCCUUAGUUGUGAAUUGUCUCGGGAAACUUUUUGCCUAUUCACGAGAGUCAAUAUUGUUGUGUUUGUCAUUUGAUGAAUUAUUCUAAUUAUUUUAACUGUACUUUUUUGACACAUUGAAUAAGACACUAGGAUUCUUGAACAACUCUUGGUUUCAAAGGUGCUUCAUUUCUGUGGACUCAAGUGAUCAAAUGGAAGGGAAGUAUCUCUGCAGACUUGAAUCUUUCAGAAAAAAUUAUGGAUCUCAAUGCCAUUGGGCUUUGGGUUUAGAACAAAAGGUUCGUGCGUAGGGGGAAAAAGGAAACAUUGGUUUGGCUUUGACUUCUUGACGCUUUUGGUAUUUAUUGAUGUCCAACCUUAUUUCUUUUUAAAAUUUCAAUUUCUUGGCAUGAAAUUCGGUAUUCAUUGACUCCCUGGCAUUCUUGUGUGAUGUGGCUGCUUUUGACUUUUUGACUCCGCCAUUUUCCCUAGGUUGAUUUUAUGUGUUGUGCUAUUUGGUGGUGAACUAUCCUGUGCCCAGCCCCCACCUCUUCUCUAAACGUUCUGGAACUCUGUUUCAUACCACAUGUUAAGAGGAACGGUGAUUUGGAAACUUUUGUAGUCUACAAGCCAGCGAUGCCAUAAAGACUCAAGGUUUUCACAAGAAUCUUGACCAGUUACAGUACAGAUUCAAGGGAUUGUGAAUAGAAGGUGGAUUGUUUGCAAUGGAUUCCCUUUAUUUAUGUGCUUGAACAGAAUUGCUAUCCUUUAGCUAAGCACAUGUAGGUUGCGAACCCUAAAUAAUUUGUAUGGUCCAACCACCCUUGUUUUUCUGUGUCUUUGGCCAAAAUCUAAGGCUUUUCUUAAAUUCCUUCAAUAUAUUUUAAAUGGUAUAAAGAAAAGUCUAUAAGUUAGAAUAAAAGAUCCUUAAAAAUGAUACUUCAACAAAACCCUUUAAGUAUUUUAUUAUUCCCCAGUUCUAGGGCGCUACGGAAAAGUGAUCAUUGAAAGGGGGAAUUAUUUCCACAAAUGGUGACAUUGCCCAUAAAAUACAUGCAAUGCUAUAGAAAAAUGAAUAUUUCAUAAUAUGUUUGUUUUUCUUUUUUGAUUAUCAUAAAUAAUUGCUGGUAUGUAUUAGUAAUGGACAUUUUAACUUGUAUUUGGGGAGGUUUGCUUUCUUUUUUAAUGAUGCUGAGUAAGCAUUUAAAACAACCUGGCUAGGUUAGACUUUGCCUGUUCUUGACUAUUUCUCUCUUUUUAUGAUAUAAAGGUCUGUCUACGAAUUGAAAUGCAGAUAAAACAUGUACUGAAGGUAGAACACACUGAUGUUGAUUUGAAGGGAAAAAUAUAAUGAUAAAUAUAUAUAUUUAUAUAUAUACACACACAUAAGUAGGUGAGUGGGAAUAUAUGAUAUAUUCACACACAGGCAAACACACACGUGGGCACAAUGACAGUAUGCUUCCAAAGUUGGUUUUCUGAUUCUGAGGAAUUUGCCACCUCACUGAGCUUCCCAAGAUUCCAAAAUUUCCUUUGAAAUAAUUACAUGUUUAAGAAAGAAAUGUUUUGCUUGUUUUCUGUAGGUACUAGAAAACACAAUUCUUAUGAUUCCCUAUUCUUUCAUAUCCAUUGUGACAUAUCCAUUGUGCACUCAGAGGAGCCUGUUUUUAGGGAGACUUUGGGAGGAUCCUUUCUUGUAUUACCACCUUUCACCCCACCCAAUGCCUUGAGAAAAUUAGCUGCAGAGCCACCUACACCUGCUCAUCUUGACUCUUGUCUUUCUGUUCAUCUCAGUUCCCCAGUUUUUCCACAGGGGAGGCCUUGUUUCCUGGAGACCCUUCUGAAGUUUGAAUACUGGAGUGAACUCUCUUUCCAUGCUGGUUCUGGGCCCUCUCCACACCUGGUGCCGCCCUCCCUGGAAUCCCAGCCCCAUUGCUCCCCAGGGCACAGAUAACGGGAAUUUCAGAGUUAGUAGAAGGAAUUUUUUGCUGCAUCUGUGAUCGAGGCAUUUUAGAUAUACAUGUUGGUAGCCCUAAGCAUGAGGUUUAAUCUAUUUCUUAUAGAGGAAGGGUUCACAAUGGACCAAACUCUAAGGGUAACCCAAGGAGAUGGCAUAACAGGACUUCUGACCCAGACCAGCCAGUUUUGUUCUCAUAGUGACCUUCUGCUCACUCAUGAGCAAAACUCCCUUAGUUGAUAGGGAAUCCCUGAUAUGUCAGAGCCAGUAUGGGAAUAGGGAAAAAGAAUUGAACUUCAAUUCACUGUAAAAAGCAUUUUCUUCUUUCCCUUUCCUUUUCUGUUUGUAGACCAUAUUUCUGCAGAGUGGGCUGGUCCUUGGGGCAUGACCAUUGUUGGGUUAUUGUGGGGAGCUUUCUGCACUGCUGGGAGGAAGCUGUAGUUUUGUUUGCUUAUUUUAAAUCUCAUCAUUACACCUCUUUGUUGCCUGGAAAGGGAGAAGAUGCUGUCCCCAGGAUGUAAUCAUUCUAGAUAGAGAUGCUUUCAGUUCUGUUUAUGGUUGCCAGUUGCUAUUGAACUCCCAAGGAAAUCUCCAGUUUGGAAACCAUUUCUGACUGCCUAUUUGGGUUCUUGGUUUUCUGCUUCUGGGCAAGAACAGCUUCUAUGCUUUAGGAGCUUUGAAAUCACUGGACCAGAGGAAGCAGAUGUAUUACAAUGGGAUGUGGCAGAUUAUGCAAGAAUUUCUUUUACCCUAAACUCAAGGUGUUGUACAGCUCUGGUAGAGGAUUUUUGACAUUUCGUAUGUUCUCAGGCCACUGGGUCUUCCCAGUGACCUUCCCUGCAAGGACAAUGUGACAGAUAAUGAAUCUAUUUUACCCCAGUCGAGUUUCCUUGCCAGAACAGUAUUCUCACUUCAAAUUCAAUUAAUCAUUUGAUUAUCAAAUAUUUAUUGAACACUUACUCUACCAAGCAAAGGGCUAGUAACUUAGGGAUAUAAAGAUGAAAUAAACCUCAAGGCAUGUAAUACAAGAUAUGAGAAAUGUACAUUAAAAACCAUACUGCAAUGGAAAAUGGAACCUAAGGAGAAGUGCAAGAUGCUUUGGACAUCCAGAACAGGAAGAGAUACUUCCAAGUGAAGGUAGAAGGGAAGGCUUUGAAACGAUGGCAUUUGAGUUGAAUUUUGAGGGAUUCAUAGCCUGCAUGCAAAUGAGUGAAUCUGGCUGGCCAUGCCCAUAGUCAUGAUGAAUCCUUCAUUCGCUUACCAUAUUGAUUUCUUUCUGAUGAGAAAGCAACAGAAUUUUCAGCAGCACAUAUUCAAGCCAUGUGAUGUCUUCCACUGUCUGUUAACAUUCACCCAACCUUAUUGAAAGAAUAGCCCUUCAGCUGAAGCUAGGUUAAACCUUGGUUUCGAAAUGUGAUUCGGGGAAUGGCUCUUCCUUGUGGAUAACCACACUCCUUCUUCAAAGACUUCAUGGACACCCCAAGAGUUGGACUUGCAGUUGCUCAGAUGUACCCAUGUGCAUGCCUUGGCUCAAAGCUAAGCCCCUACAGCUUUGGUGUAUCUAAAAACCACUCCUCUAGUCCUCCACAUGUGGUGGAAGACAGGAGGAAUGAGGCUUCAAGUGGUGAUUUGCAUGUCUCCAUCUGCAAGGCACAUCAGAAGAGUGGAAGCUGUCAGUGGACCACUUUACAUGUGAUUUCUGGAACCACUGAGUUUUUGAGGCCAAAGGGAAGGAACUUGAAUGAAAAAUGGAAUUUCUUAAAGCCCAAAGCUGCCCAAGACACAGAAGAUUCCAGUCUCUGAUUCUUAAUAGGGUUUUAGUUCAACCCUGGUCAGGCAAGCUUCUGGAUAUUUGAGGCCAGUGCAAUCUCCUAGAAUUGGUUGAGCCAUGCAGAACUUGGCUGGCCCCAGGCCCUCACUGUAGCAGCCAAGGAGCUGGUUACUGUGGUCACAGCAUUUCCUAAUGAAGAAUUGAGUCUUCAGGAUGUGGGGUAAGUCCCAGUUUCUCCUAUAGUUUGUGUAGUGGGUCCAGGUGUUUCCAGAUACCAUGAGAAAAGGAAGCCAAGACAGUUUUUUUUUUCCUGAUCCUUUCCUCAAUGGUCCCCAGUUCUCUCAGCACUACACACAGAUUCUUCAACAGUUUGUGCACCUUGUUUCAUCUUCUGAGACUUUAAGAACCACAGAAGCAAAACCAUACAGACAUUGAGACGAGAGAUGCAAAGGCACAGAGAAUUGAGACAAGCGGGAGGGCCUCCCCACAGACAGAUCUGCUCCUGAAGCAUUUAAAGUGUGGCCUGGCCUUUGACCUCAGAUUUUCAGCAUGUCUAAGUGGAAAUGCAGGGGAUGGCAGUUCUGAACCUUAGAACUUAUUAAUAGGACAAGCAGGCUUGGGAUCCCAACUGGAACUCCCCAACUUCCUUCAGUCUUGUUCCUUAUAAUUAUUCUCUCUUUAACUUCCAUAAAAUAACUCUACUGUUGCUGAUCCAUGGCCUGGAAUCUUUUCAUAAUGGGUGGGAUGGUGACCACCUGCAUCCCUGGAGCUGAUAGACAAACCAUGUCAGCCAAGCAUACAUUCAGAAAAGUUGGACUUCUAUUUUACACAAAUCAUUUUUAACUCCCAGCUUCAAGAUAUUAAAUUUUAAUCAUUCCCUUUACCACCCACGAUCUGGGGCUCUACCAAGCCUGACCACCAUGCACCACAGGCUGACGGUGACCCCAGACUCUCACUGGACCCCAUAUUCCCCACACCCAUGAUGUCUGCUCAAGGGUGUGUUGCCCAAACCAUCAUUCAUCUCAGAUUUAACUCAUAUUUACUGAGCACUUGCUUCAUGCCAAUUUGCUAAGUGCUUUUCUAUAUAUUUUCUUAGUUUAUUUUACUUAUUCCUUGUAAUGACCUUUUUCAACUAGAGAAAUAUAACACAUUAGUUUAAUUUCCAUGUGAGAAAAAUGUGACCUAGGCACUUGAAUGAUUUGCUCAACUUGAUUCAAAAGAAAUAAAACCACGAUGUGGGAUCAAGUGUCUUGGCUGAAAGUCUUCUGGAUUUUCCACCACACCUCUGCCUACACACUCCCUUGCUUGACUGAUGGGACAUUCUACCUUUCUUUUCUUCCUGCUGCCUCACUGAACUUUGAGAGGCCACCUCCCUGUGUGGUACAUUUUAUCUCAGCCUGCAGGAGCCAAGGCCGGUUUGACCUGUGUCUAAACAACCCAUCUUGAGAUGGCCCAAGAGCAGGGGCCCUUGAGGCAUCAGCCUGAGACUGACAUAUGGAAAAGACAUCUUUUUUUCCUCUGUUUCCAAAGAUUUUUGCUGAAAAUAAUACAUAAAAUAGAUCCUGUGAGAACCACUUUUAAAGCCAAUUGGUGUUCUUCUGAUCUUUCCCAGGAAGAUCUUUUGGCAGAAUCUCUCUAUGUUGUAGAGAAGAAAUCAGGGCAUUGGGUGGCAUCAUUAUAUUUUGAAGCCCAAACUGCUCAAAAGGAACUGAACAGCAAAUCUCUGCCUCUAGCUAAAAUUGCUGCCUCCAACACCACUGACCUGAAGUACUGGGCUCUAGCUUGGCUUCAGGAAGCUUGCAAAGACCUCGGUGUUGCCCCAUGUCAGCUGUCAAAACUGGCAGCCACCUCCCUGAGGUUAACGGAAGAGAUUUCUUCCCUUGAGAACUAAGGUCUCAGUGAGAUUCCUGGACUCACGCGCAGUCAAUUCAUUCUGUCCAUUAGUCUUCUAACUUACGCACUCAUUAUUCAUCUAGCAAAGAUCCCAGACGUGUGACUAGACCCUGUCCAUAAGUGAUUCACAGUCUGGUAGGGAGCUAACCUCUGUACAUCCAGGGCUGAAAAGUAAGAUGAAAUUAAUGAAUGCAGAUAAAGCUCUCUCAAGUUCAAAGGAAAGGAAGGCAUCUUAGCACCACCAAGCUCAAAGAAAGAGGAGAUGACAUGGGCAUUAAGGACUGUUGAGCCUUCCUCAUGAAUGGCACAUCCUGCGUUAAGGACAUUAGGGAAGGUUAUAAGGAAACAAUUAAGAUAUAUGCCCCCUUCUUUGCCUAAAAGUAACUCCCAGUGUGCACCAAUAUAUUGGCUCCUUUGAUAGCCAUCAUUAGAGGAUGCUUCCUGCAAUCAUCUUCCUUCUUAAUCAGUCACCAGGCGUACUUCUCAAACAGGAAAAAAUGGCUUAACCACAGCAAGAAGAGACAAGGGGAGGGGAGAGUAAGGAAAAGAUUCCUCUACUUUUGAGACGGAUUGCUUUAGAAAGAAAGCAAAACGUAAUCAUGUUAUCCUUGGUCUGGAAACUGAAGAAAGGGCCCCCUUACUGCGUCACCCCAAGGAAAGAAGAAGGACCUGAAACUCAACAUCCCUAUGCCUUUCUAGCUGUCAUUCCUAGCCAUUGUUUCUACAUGUCCACAGACCCCAUGCCUCCAUCCUGAGCCUUUUGGACUUAUAGAGUUUAGGUUAAGCAAUAUACUAUGAAUAGGCACAUGGGUUACAGAGAACAAGAGAAAAGGAUAUUCUCUUAGGAAGAGCCAAGAGAGAAAUGGGACACAACAGCAUGACACAGCGGUCAACACAGGCCUUGGAUCAGUUGACUAACCUUGAAAGGUUCCCUGUGAAAUAAGAAGCUCCAGGUUAAUACCACAUUGCCCCUUUAGGCCAAUAAUGAAUUCUGAUCAAUUCCACUUAAGAAUCGUUCAUUGUUUCUUUGUCACUGCUCUAACCUCAUGGCAAAUGCUGAGAUAUGUCUUGAGGUGAUUUAUCACAAGGGUUUCUGAAUCAUGAUAUAUCACAUUCAUUGCAUCCUUCACUUACCAGGCACCCAUUUCCAAAAUAUUACAUAUUUAUCUCCAUUUUUAACACUACAGAUUAGGUCAAUGGUGAGUGCCUUUUUUUAAAAGUCCCUACUAAUUAGCGGUGAUGAGAAAUAGUGUUGUUUAUUUUUUAACCUUCAAGACGUAGCUAUUGUUUCUUCCUCAAUUUCCUAGUUCAGUUUGGCAAACUGGACCACUGAAAGUCCACUAGGCGUUUAUCUAGUGAUUUCUCUAAGCAUGGCUGGGUGAGAGCAAGUUGAAAAUGACGUCUGUCAGCAGAAAUUCGAGAGUUAGGAAGCUAUGCUGUUGCAUCCCAGGACCACAGAGAACUGUCAUCCAGCCCUACCUCCCCUCCAAGCAGGGUCACCCGUUUCUACAUUCCAUUGCAGCAGCUGGAGUCCUGGAUUUGCCACUAACACACCCCACGUGCCCAAGCACAGUUUCAUCUUCUGCAAAAUGGUGACACUCCUUAAAGUUUCUUCCCAUCCGAAAGUUCUGUUAUCAAUACCCACUCAUCCAACAAAUGGCAAGAAAAUUUAGCUUCUCCUUAAAUCCAUGCUAAUGUUUAUGAGCAUAAGAACCCAAGGAGAUCCUCCUUACAUAGAAGGCAAGCAUCUAAAUCAAUUCAACUCUACUUUUAUCUUGCAUUAAAAGAUGAAGCCAAUACAAAAAUUAGCUGGGUGUGGUGGUGCACGCCUGUAAUCCCGGCUACUCAGGGGGCUGAGGCAGGAGAAUCACUUGAACCCAGGAGGCAGAGGUUGGAGUGAGCUGAGAUUGUGCCACUGCACUCCAGCCUGGGCGAUAGAGCGAGACUCCAUUUCAAAAAAAAAAAAAUAAAUAAAAAGAUGAAGCCAACUGCUCACCCUAAUAAAUAUACUCACAAUAUAUAUCUUGAAGGUUAAAAACAAAAACAAAAACCACAUUGCUUCCUCUAAUCCCCUUUUUGUUAUUGAUGUCAAGGAGUUGAAAUGUACUGGGGUGCAGACCGGAGCAUUAGCUUGUCAGGAGAUGAGAAUCAGCCAUAUGGGAUAUACAGAGAUUAUUGACCAAACAAAAUAAAGCCAAGCAAAACACUGCAAAUUCUCCUGUCCUUAGAACGCCACUUAGCAAACGACCGCCGCUCUAAGAAAAUGCUUUGGGUAUGGAAAAGUAUCGAACUUUGAGGUUGUCCGGGGAAGGCUGUGAUGCUUUUAUCAGAGGUGAAUAAGGUUUUCCAGCACAGUUCCUAAACGCCUGUGGGGCGCUUUCACAUGCAGUAUCUCAUUUGAUCUUCUCAACAACGCUGUGAGUAAUAAAGUCACACCCAACAUGCAAAAGAGAACACUAAAGUUCAGAGAGGUUAGCCCACCUGAGGUCACACUACUAUAAAGGGGUUAGGGUCCAAUUUCGAAUCCCAUGCUGCUGUCUGUGAUGUCCAAAGCCCCUUCUUUUGAGAGUUGGAGGAGCAGCAGACCACCUACCUCCCCACCAAGGCCCUGGACUGACAAUGCCUGUUCUCCACCAUGCCUAGGAAUCUCUUUCAGCCAGGGUGGCUCCCAACAAAUGGUAAAUAGAACCAGAUGGUCCUAGGUACCAAGAGUAGGACAUCAUAGCCUUGUCCUGGGGCAUUUUCGGGAUUCUUUAAGCAUAUCUUUACCCUUAAAGCCACACUACACAUCAUCUCAUUUCCUAAUUUUAUUCUGUCCACUUCCUUAUGUAAAUACAUCUAUGAUCACAAAUCCUCAAACAUGGUUUCAUCUACAAACUGCCAGGCCAGAGAAACACCAUUUGGAAAGAGCUGAUCUAGUAAAGCAGAGUUCUGGGGAUUGAUGUCAGAAGAACAUCAUGGUGUUUGCUAAGGCCAUUCAGCCAAAGCAGCCUGCACCUCUUAAAAAUCCUCCCUUUGAGGGAAGACCCAUGGUCAGCGGCUCCUUAGUUGGCUUUGCAGAACCACUCCCUUAGGGGGGCUCAGAGCAAUGAGCAGAGGGUACCACCUCUGAAUCGCAGAGGACCAAGUGGUGGCUGUGUUUUGAGUCAGGGCUGGGUGAGGAGUACAGAGAAGGUUUCCAGGACAAUUGCUUUACUAUGAUAGGUCAUGGGUGGAAACUGAAGUCUGGGAAAGCUUAGUAAGAGAUGGGAUUCAGAAGGCAAGUAAGGUGGGAUCUCCUCUGGCCCAAGAAAUGAAUAAGUGUGAGCACCUUACGCAAAAAGCAAAGGACAGGGGCACUGGUUCUGCCUGAUUCUGUCACUCCUAAAACAAACCCCAAUGUGCGUGCUGGAGGAGGCCAUGUGCUGGACUGAUCACAGCUGUCCACUUCUACCCAUGAGAGUAGGAACCAGACUGGUGUGGACGCUGGUGGACACUGAGCCUGUAGGGUCAGGGGGAUCAUUUUUUCCUUAUUGAGGAGUGUGGCAAAAUGUUUAGAGGAAGUCCAAAUUUCCUGCUAUGGCCAGAUUUUAACCAAAUGAUCGAGUGCUUCCUGAGCUCACACUAACAUCUCACACUCUAUUUCAAAGUAAGAAAAACUUCCUAAUGUGGCAGAGGAAUUUGCAUUUCUUCCCUUUCUUGGGCCACGGGUGUGAGUAAAGGGUUCUCUUACCUGAAUGCAGGUCACUAGUAGGAGGUAGGUGGAUCAAACCACAGGCUACAUCCCAGGGGAGACAAGAGAGAGUGCUGCCCACACCCUACACAGGGCUGGCCAGUCCCACUCCCCUACUGCCUCAACAGCAGCCUCUUUCUGUCUAAAACUGCCUCUCCAACUCACUUAACCUAGGAAGAGUUGCCCUGUGCAAUUAGGAGGGACUUAGACUGGGGUAGAAGGGGCCAAUCCAAAUGGCUCAAAGAGCUGCUAUCUUGGGUUUAGGCCCCAGGAUAAGGCUAGAGAGGGGCCACAUGAGGAAGGCCAAAGACCAACAGGGAUGAUGUGUGGCUUCCGUGGGCUUCUAGCUUGCGGUCCGUGCCAAAGGGCCAUCAUCCACCCUCGUCUUGGGCAUGCAGGAUUCCUGGAGGCAUUCUGAUGCAUCCUGCCUUUCUCAACCUGUCCCAGACUAGUUCUUGCUACAAAUUUCAGAAGAGGAUUCUCCCUCAGUCUCCCUUGCCUCUCCUCCUGUCCUUUAGCAUGAAUGUGAAGACCAUUGCCUGAUUACUUCCUUUAGCCUCUCGCUGUCUGCCAGACACUUGCCCAAAGGUGAGGCUCUCGGUGAACAGCAACUCUUGUUCCCAGAUGGCCUUUUGCGUUCUUGACUUUCCCUUUCUUCCCUUGCUGACCGUGAGACUCUGAGGCACAAUGGCCUUGACAAGGGUCCCUCGUUUAUCAGCUGAAGGCUCCUCCCCAGCCUGGCCUCCCAGCUCUCAUUUUAUUCCAUUUUUCUUUCCUCGGGGUGACCCCAUUAUGUUUUCCUUUCAUUCCAUGGGGUGCUGCCUCUUCCUCUCGCAACAGCCUGGGAUGGUGUGGGUGACUGGUGUUGAAGCACAAAGCAACAUUGCCAAAGAGGAUUAUGGUAGGAAAAAAUAAUAAUAAUAAGUAUAAUGGGAAAAGCUCAGUGAUGUGGGAAACUCCCUUCAGAUCCUCCACUGGUCAGCCCCGGUUUUCCAGUCCUUUUCUUCUGAAAUUUUAAUACCAUCUAUUUGCUAUGAUUGUUUUUAAUGGAAGAAGAACAUCAUGCUAAUGAGUUGUGCAAAGGACAUCAUUCUUUUGUUACUAUAAUUUAAAGGGGUAAAGACUACAAUGAACCGUGUUUAUGUUCAGAUAUCCAUUUGUUGUGCUGGGUUGAUUUCAGACUGGUGCAUUCUCACUUAUCAGGGACCUCUGAUUCUAGCAGAACAAAAUCAGCUAUUUACUCUAGUUACUGUAAGCAGACACAUAACUUUUACUGUAAUUUGAAAAACCUUGCACUGUAAUGGUUUAAAAAAAAAAGCAAAUCUUAUUGAAACUGAUUUUGUAUUUUUGAUUACAUCUGAAUUUUCACAUUUUUGUAUCUAACCGUGACCACGGUAGCGCUUCCAUAGCUUGUGUUCAAGGUCUCGUUUUCUUUCCAGAUUGAAUUCCUAAGAUUGUGUUGAUGCCAGAUGUUUAAGGGGCAGGACUGGGGCCUGGCUAGCAGAACCUGUCAUGGGGGUUGUGUCUUUGGCCAGAUCAUGAGCUGGCAACAGGAAAUCUUGCCUAGAUGGAGCAAGCUGUUGUUGCGUUUCAUUGCGUGAAUUCCCACAGACAGUUCAUAUCUCCAACUAAUUUAAGGCCAACAGUUUUUGGCCAAACCUUUGCCAAGGACUCUCUCAACUGAGCUGCCCCCCACCCCUGCAUUACCCAGCUUCCUGGGUAAGGGAGGACAUUUUUGAAAACAAAACUUGUGAAAUUAAUUUGUGCUUAUGAUUUUUUUCUUCUUGCUGGAAACAUGCUGGGAAGCAGAGAGCAUGAUGUUAUCGCUCUUUCUGCUUUUCCAAACCAAUACACCUGUUGUACUCUUUUGUUUCUUAGUGAAGAAAAUUCUAGACACAGACCUAAAUAUGAACUCUUUUCCUCCUGUAUUUCAGAUUAGCAAUUCUCCCUAUGUAUUCCUAACUUGUUGAAGUGUUUUCCUUCUUAGCAUUUCUUCUCACACUUUACUUUAUUUUUUUUUACUGAACAACAACAACAAACCCACGAAGGAACAAAUAAUCUCUUUCUCUUUCUCUCUUUCUCUCUCUGAUGUGUAAUGUUGUGUUGUCCAGAUUCUGUACAAAAAUAUGUAUAUGAUGUAUCUGAUAUUUGGCAGCCACUGGCUGUUACUUUAACCAAUAUAAUUAACAAAAUGCAUAAUGUUGGUGUUUGAUUUUUUUUUUUACAAAACAAAAAAACAACCUAGUUAAGAUGUUUGUGUAUUUUUGCAUGGUUAAAAUGUACUUAGUGCAUUGAGAAAUGUCGUGGAGGCACUCAGUGAAAAGGCCGGUUUACUUUUUGAUCUUAAUGGUAAUUGGUUGUUGACUAGACUAAUCCCUAUGAUGUAUGUCUUCUUUAAGUUAGCAUAUUUCUAUUUAUAACUUGUUUUAGUACUCAAGAUUCAGCAUAGCGUAUCUAUCUAUCUCUAUUGUAUUUACUGUUCCUUAAAACCAGGUUGUGGAAGUUCACUUCGUCUGGCUCAAAUGUCUCCAUUGCCGAUUUCUGUUGAAAUGUGUUCCAUUUAAUUUGCUGUACAGUCCAGAUCUGAAGCACCCCCAGGGCCCAUGGACAAGGGCUGUCAUCUCUCCUUCCGGAGGCCUAUUCCUUUGAGCAGUACUGUGGUUUUUCCCUUGUCAUGGAACAUCUUUUUUUUUUUUUAACCUAGUUAUAUAAAGGAGGAUAAAAGACAGGAAAUUAAGCAGAAAUAUAAGAAGUAUUUAUAUUUUAUACAAAUAGCGCAUAUAAUAUAUUAUAGAGUGAUAGACAGGCCGACUUUAAAUGUGAAUUAAGCAAAAAGGCAAUGAAAGAUAUUGAAGGACUCAGAGAGAUCUUGGGUUUUCCUCCCAGGAGUGGCACCAUUUCAAUAGGAGAGCUGCAGAAAAAUGGGCUGGCCUUCCUUGUGCCUCAGUUUCACUCUAGGUAAGAUUAGGAAGGGCAGUGUUAGGUGAGAGAGGCAUCUACAUUUUCUUGGGCCUUCAGUGCAUUUAAAGUAAAAGUGGAUCUUCAACUGCUUAAGAGAUUGGAUCGCUGUAUGUUUAGAGACAGUGCUCGCAGCAUCCCCUCUCCCCCCUUGGACAUCUGGACUUGCUCAGAGGAAAUGCAUGUCUUAAAAGGCGCAAACUAUUCUGGUUCAAGAUUACCCUGAUUUUCUUCUUGCUGGGAUCUCAAGUCAUCUCUUCAGCCAGGUACUUCUGCACAGCUUUUGAAAGAAGGCAGAUUUGGAAAGCAAUAUCUCUGGGAAAUAGAGGUGAAUCUCUGGCACAGGGUUCGUUUGUUCUCCCUAAAGGAGUCAGAAUCAUGGACUUCUUUUUUUCCCCUGGGCACACAGGACUUUGCCAUUCUAUAUUUUUCCAACCCAGACUCAGAGAGACACAUCUCCCCCACUCCCAAUGCUAGGAACCAGCAUACACAGAAGGUAUUAGAAGCACCUAGACAGAUUUUUCCAGAGUCUGUGUUUUGGCAGACAUUUGCCUUUUGGCAGAAUAGUGUACCUAUCCACAGUGAGCCAUUCCCCCCUCCGCAAAUCUGGAGAUACAGCCAGUCCUCUGAAGUCUUGGGCUUAUUGGCUGUGCAGUGAAACGUUAAUCCUGAUGGCCAGCCAGGUGGAAACCAGGACUGUGGUGCCUCUGCCUCUCUGACUCUUCACAGUUAAGAGCUCAGAGUGCUUUACAAACAUCUUGUUUCUCGUGGCCACUGCACACCUCCGUGAUAUGCCUGGCCAUGGGCACUGAUCAUGUCACUGUCUGCUGCUGGUGGGCAUCUUUCAAGAUCUUUUGAAAUUUUCAUUAGGUUCUAAUGCACUUUUUACUUUCCCUGAGUUGAGGUUGACCGCAAAAGGGCAGGAUUCCACAAAGAUGUGGCAGACACUACUGCUCUCCUGUUUGGCUCUUUCAGGGCAGAAUCUAGAUGGGGCAUUGCGGACAUGCUGACAUUGGUCAGGAGUCCCAAGGAACUUGCUAGAAAAUGUACUCACCAUUCCCCAGGAACAAGGUUGGCCCUCUUUGGAUGAAAGGCUGGCAGAGCCCUUCAUGAUCCUAGAAUUCAGCCCCUACCUCAUGUCUUUUCCAGACUGAUAUCAGUUCUCCAGGACCAUAGACUACAAAUGUCAGGAAGGUCUCAGAGCAUGUGGAGUCCCAUCUCCUCUCUGUACAGAUGAGGAAACUGAAGCCCAGAGAGAGAUGAAGUGAUUUACCCAAAGAAACCCAGCUCAAAAGGAGCAGAGACCCCCUCAGACCCUGCUUCCUGAUGCUCCUUUGUCCCCCUCCUUACUUAUAACCAGCAGCUCAGAAUCCUUUUAAUUUGUGAAAUUCAGAUAUCAUUCCCAAACUCUCAUGUUUGAUAGAAGUCCCUAAGUUUCUUUUCCCAAUGAUUAUGGUCAAUGUGAACAUCCCAACCCAGCCCCGUGUUAGCCAAGGGAAGAGGGUUUGGAUUUAGGAUGUGAAAUGAGCUAAUGUCUCAUUAACCUAUAUUUUUGAGGGGUAAGGAAGAACAAUGAAAAUAAGGAACAGCAGAAUCUAAACCUAUAAACUGCCCUUACUAAAUCUCCUGUGAGAACAGCUUUUUUCUAAAAAAUCUCAGUGGUCCAUCCAUCCACCCAGUGACCCUACCUGUUGUUCAGCCAUCCCAACUUUCCUGGACGUCUUCCAUUCCAGAGGCAUCUGAUUUCUCCAGGAAGUCCCUUUUAGCAGAGCCCGUUUCAGGAAACCGUCAACUUUUUAAUCCAAGCAGGUGUUCAUAAUGUUUGUUAUGAAUUCCUUUUAUUGUACCUCUCUCUGCUUUUAUCUCAAUUGAGCCACCAGAAGCCAAAGCGUGUUUUCCUCAUGCGAAAUAGUAGACCAGGAACGUCUUGCGGUGUCAUUCUUCUAAAAAAUGGCUGUUGGCCUCCUGACCUCACCUUCCCCUUUAUACGAGCCUGGAGGCACCUGGCUUAGCUGGUGCGUUUUCCUUUGGGAGGACUCUUUGAGGUUUGUCCCCCAAAGCUUACAAAGAUAUAGUCUAGAAUGUGUUUUUAUUUGAAUUUUUGUGGUUUUAUUUGAAUUUUCAAAAUAAACUCUGUAAUUUGCUACUGAGGCCCUUGAUUCUUUGUUAUCCCUGAGAAGGGCCCAGUGAGUCCCUACUCCUUUCCCCAGCUUCCAGUUCCUAACAGUCUCUUUCUAAUUAAAUAGAUCCUUUUUUUAUUCCAAUUAGAUUAUGGUGCUGUUUCUCAAAGAGACCAAGUCCCUGAGUUGAAGAUCUUUAAAGGGCUUUAUUCCUUUAAAAAGGUGCCAUUCCAGCCCUUUCCAGCUCUCACCUCCCCACUCCCUUAUAAGUGACACCGCCUUUCCCCACCAGGCCCUGACUCAGGCUCCAGAGAAGACUGACCAUGACCCUGUGCCACGCCAGGGGCCCAGGCAGGACCUUUAGUGACCUUUCCUGGAGGAACCUUGGUGCUUCCAUCUUCCACUUGCCAGUCGGGUGACCACAGAAAAGAGAUUCUGGAGAGUAGAAACUUCGGUCAAGUUGCCCCAAGUCAGGGAUGAGCCUUCUUUCCAUGGAGCCUUCCAAAGGGCAAGCCGUCUGCUACUGUGUACUGUAAAUUCAGAGCUUCAGGAGCUGAGGCCUCCUGUGCUUGGGGGAAAGGUAGCUGAGGAGAAAGGGACACCUUCUCACCUUUUGUUUACCUUUGAUCUGGCUGAACUUAGCUGCCCUUAACUUCUAGUUUGCUUAAGUCCUUAUUGCCUUAAUAACCACCUAAUAAGCAGUCAGAACCAGGAGAGAAGCCCCUCCCGUGGAAUCCAUUGCAAGCCUGUCCCCAGUCUCCCCACUGCUGCUAUGCCUGAAAAGAGCCCCAGCCCCGUCUCCAAAGCCCAGGGUUCGCCUCUUGCUGAAAGAGCAACGUUCCCAGGCUGAGGACAAACCCAGGACUGCUCAGGCGGAGAGAUCCCUGCCCCCACGUUCACCACUGACAACCCAACUCCAUCCUCAGUCUCCGUGGCUUCAGAUCUGGACUCCGCACCCUCCUCCACCUCCACCUCUCUUCCCAGAGACCCUCCCCACAUCAUGCUCAGUGCUGUUUCUGAAGACCAUCUAGACUUUUGUGUUCUCUGGAACAUUCUACUCACCUUCAGCUGCAGCACAUUUCUUCAGCCUCUCCACCAAGCUCUUUAAAAUGAAAGGCAGUUACUGUCUUCCCUUGGACAAUAAUGAAUGUAUCUACUGUAUGUGCAGACCAUGUCGAGAAGUGGCUGGGUUAAGAAAAAAGAGGGUUUUUGUAAAGCCUGUUUAUUUUUUUAAGUCAGUUUUGAGCAUUUCUAUUUUACCACCCUUCACAUGGUUUUGGGGAACCCAAAUUGUAUCAAGGUCUCAUGCCAAAACAAGCCAAAAGUUGUUUUCUUUACCUUUUUCCUCCAUGCACCAUGAUUUCAAUGAUUGUUUCAGUGUCAUUUUAAAUGUUUUCUUGUGACAUGUACUGAUGAUAAAAGUCAUCUUGACAAAAAAAAAAAAAAAAGAUUUAUACAUGAAUCAGAAAGUAUUUAUUUCAAUUUUGUACCUUUCCAUUUUAAUACAUUAUAAUGUAUUGACUCAACGGAGAUAAUAUAAACAGUUCAUUUUAAUAACA